AGGGGGCGCGCACGGGGGUUGGCGCGGAAGACAGGACCCUCAGCCUCGAGGGAGUCCCUCGGUGACCAGGCAAAAAACAGUUCCCUCCAGCUGGUCCUCAGAUGGGCACAUCUAUUAGCCUCUGCUCUUGUAAGAAGUUAGCUGCAGAACCCACAUGUGAAUCCUUGUAGGACUGUGGAGAAGAUCAAAUGGGAGCUUGGAUGUGGAAGCUCUUUGGAAACCAAGAAACACUCUGCAAAUGAAAAGGGUCAGGAAAGCCUGAACUUUCUCAUCCAACACCUGUUCAAGUCGGAGGAUGCUGAUUAAUUCAUGAUGGAAAGGUAUCAAUUUUCACAGACCAGACCUCUACAUUCUUGAAAUGCUCUUCUCAUGGGAGACAUUAAAUAAGCUUUGAAUUAACUGAAGAACCAAUGGUGUGAUCCCUGGAUACUGACAAUUGUUGCCCAAGAAACCCCCUCCCCUUGCCAUGGGACUGCACCCAAAUAAUUUGAUAGCUCUUGUUACACAGCUCUUCUUGGACUAAAAGGCCCUCAGCAUUCCUGGCAAUUUCUACACUCCUGGAGCUUCAUCUGGUGAUAAAGACCUCAAGUAUGAGUUUCAUCUCAUCUUUGAAUUCUUCAGAUCACCUGCUCAUAUUAGGUUUUGCCUCCUUUGGUUCAACCUAGAUUCCAUAAACUUCUCAGGCAAUUGGCCCUUGCCUUGGACUUGGCCUAGAAGCAUGGACAAUGCCCCUCCCUUGGAGACACACCGAGGUCUAGGAUCCCUGAAAAUGGAAAGGAAUUAUCCCAGUUUAUUCCCACACCCUAAUACUGCAGAGGAGUCCCCGAAAUACGAAACAUUUCAGCCUCUCCUCAUUUCUUCCAAGGGUAGAUUGAAAGAUACCAGCUUCAGCAGGCCCUUGUAUUGAAGACAGCAUAACCCCCAAGAGGAAAGGAGCUUGGAGCCCUGAAUCAGAGUAGAAGACCAGCUGAACACCAACCUUGGACAGUGUGUGAAUGAAAAACAAAUUUUGAGAUUUGUGUGGUUUAUGUAUUAGUUACUGUUAUUAUUAAAG